rnacentral:rRNA from 1 species
AUUGAACGCUGGCGGAAUGCUUUACACAUGCAAGUCGAACGGCAGCACGUACUUCGGUCUGGUGGCGAGUGGCGAACGGGUGAGUAAUGUAUCGGAACGUGCCCAGUCGUGGGGGAUAACGUAGUGAAAAUUACGCUAAUACCGCAUACGAUCUAUGGAUGAAAGCGGGGGAUCGCAAGACCUCGCGCGAUUGGAGCGGCCGAUUUCAGAUUAGGUAGUUGGUGGGGUAAAGGCCACCAAGCCAACGAUCUGUAGCUGUGCUGAGAGGACGACCAGCCACACUGGAACUGAGACACGGUCCAGAAUCCUACGGGAGGCAGCAGUGGGGAAUUUUGGACAAUGGGCGAAAGCCUGAUCCAGCCAUUCCGCGUGCAGGAUGAAGGCCCUCGGGUUGUAAACUGCUUUUGUACAGAACGAAAAGGUUUCUACUAAUACUAGGAGCUCAUGACGGUACUGUAAGAAUAAGCACCGGCUAACUACGUGCCAGCAGCCGCAGUAA